UACGUAGGGGGCAAGCGUUGUCCGGAUUUACUGGGCGUAAAGAGCGCGUAGGUGGGAGAGCAAGUCCGGUGUGAAAGCCCCCGGCUCAACCGGGGAAGGUCGUUGGAAACUGCUCUUCUUGAGGUGGACAGAGGGAAGUGGAAUUCCUGGUGUAGCGGUGAAAUGCGUAGAUAUCUGGAGGAACACCGGUGGCGAAGGCGGCAUCCUGGACCGGUAUUGACGCUGAGGCGCGAAAGCCAGGGGAGCAAACGGG
rnacentral:rRNA from 1 species